CUUAGGGAUGGCUGAGGGCAAGGUUCAGACACAGUGUGAUGUGGGAGGCACAGAAUAGAAACCGUAGCGAGAAAAGGCUGCUUCACCCUGCAGCCUGGCAACUGAGUCCAGCUCUGCUUGAUGUCAGCCAGAGGGUUUGAAUGACUUCCCUAAACCCUUGGAGGAGGAGCUCUGUAUACUGGAAGUGGUCCAUCUGCACACUGAUUGGAGGCAGAGGUGACAGGCUCCAAGGGAAGCGGAACGACCUGAUGGAAGAAAGCAACUCAUGUGAUAAUGAGGAAGUAGAGAGAGACUCCACUCACCAGAUCCGAGAUACAUACCAAAGUGAUCGAAGAGACACCCGCACGGAGGUAGCAGGAGUCUCAUCAACGAGAAGGGGAAACGUUUCUCACUGCCCUAGCAUUUAAUUUAUUUUUUGACAAGUGGAUCAGGACAGAAGCCCUGUUUCCCUGCAUGGUGCUCCUCGGCCGGAGGGUGCAGAAGACGUGGAGGCUGUGGAAGACCUGCUUUCUAUCCCCAGAGAACUACGGUCUGAUUAGGAAGAGGAGACUCGCCCAAGAUUUGAGUACUAAGCAAUGUUGGGCAGA